UGUUUGAUGUUGCUGAAAAUAUCGAUUCGAAGGAAACCGAAAAUAUUACUGUUUAUCCAAGUUGUGUAAAUAGUGAAUUGAUUGGAUUGGGGAUCGAGUAUUUAAAUAAACCAAAACAAUCAAACAUAAAAAACAUAUUUACUAUCGAACUCAAAGUGUACAACGUGUGAAAUACAGUGUAAACUCAUAAUCAACAUUGGAUUGUCUAAAAUAAGCAUUACACUACGUGGAAUACAAGGUAAGUACAAAUUUAAAUUCCCGCUUUCAAAUUAUAAAUACUAUAUUCCGUAAUAAACCAUUAAGAUAGGUAAUAAAGUUUGGUAGGAUAAUUGACUUCAUUUAUUCAAUAUUGUUCAACCCCGAGAUCAGUUCUUUAUUUUUGUCACAACGUUUGUGUGCAUUUUUAUUUAUUUGAU